rnacentral:misc_RNA from 1 species
GAAGUGCGAAAAGUAAUGCGAUUUGCAUGAAUCUGUGAGUCAUCAAGUCUUUGAACGCAUCUUGCACCGUAUGAGUAAUUGUACGGUAUACCUGUUUGAGAAUCGUAAAGACCCAUUUCCUCCCGGUUGGGAGGAGAAUUGUCGGUUGUCCGCCCGGUCUUCUCUGUGGCGGACUCUGAUUAAAAGCAGUAGGUAUUGUGAUCAGGCUGGUGGCCUGGGACAUUGUGUGCUAGAGACGCAGAUAGUUUUCUGCAAGUCUUCUCACAAUGCGUCCUAGGUCCAAUGUAAAGCUGGCUUGGUCAUGACCUGCCCAGUGUCCUUGUGGCACAACCCUCACAAACUUUGAUCUCAAAUCAGGUAAGGUUACCCGCUGAACUUAA